AGGAGCAGCAGCCGCGCCUGCAGACCGGCCUCGCGGAGCCCGCGCGCCGAGCCCCACAAUGGCUUAUUCAGAAGAGCAUAAAGGUAUGCCCUGUGGUUUCAUCCGCCAGAAUUCCGGCAACUCCAUUUCCUUGGACUUUGAGCCCAAUAUAGAGUACCAGUUUGUGGAGCGGUUGGAAGAGCGCUACAAAUGUGCCUUCUGCCACUCGGUGCUUCACAACCCCCACCAGACAGGAUGUGGGCACCGCUUCUGCCAGCACUGCAUCCUGUCCCUGAGGUGAGUGGGCAGGGCCUGCAAUUCUGGCCAUGGCAGUCCCAGCAUUCAGGUGGCAACUGUGGCCACUCAACUGUUUUCAUGGGUUUUGGAGUUGUUUUACUUGGCCACAGAACCAUGACUGUAAGGAAGGACUCUCCCAGAUCCCCUCUGUGAGGGCCUGA
rnacentral:sRNA from 1 species